AGAGUUUGAUCAUGGCUCAGAUUGAACGCUGGCGGCAUGCCUUACACAUGCAAGUCGAACGGCAGCACGGGGGCAACCCUGGUGGCGAGUGGCGAACGGGUGAGUAAUACAUCGGAACGUGCCCCGUAGCGGGGGAUAACCAGUCGAAAGACUGGCUAAUACCGCAUACGCUCUACGGAGGAAAGCAGGGGAUCGCAAGACCUUGCACUAUGGGAGCGGCCGAUGCCCGAUUAGCUAGUUGGUGAGGUAAAGGCUCACCAAGGCGACGAUCGGUAGCUGGUCUGAGAGGACGACCAGCCACACUGGGACUGAGACACGGCCCAGACUCCUACGGGAGGCAGCAGUGGGGAAUUUUGGACAAUGGGCGCAAGCCUGAUCCAGCCAUGCCGCGUGCGGGAAGAAGGCCUUCGGGUUGUAAACCGCUUUUGGCAGGAACGAAACGGCGCGAGCUAAUACCCCGCGCUAAUGACGGUACCUGCAGAAUAAGCACCGGCUAACUACGUGCCAGCAGCCGCGGUAAUACGUAGGGUGCAAGCGUUAAUCGGAAUUACUGGGCGUAAAGCGUACGCAGGCGGCUAUGUAAGACAGGUGUGAAAUCCCCGGGCCUAACCUGGGAACUGCAUUUGUGACUGCAUAGCUAGAGUCUGUCAGAGGGGGGUGGAAUUCCACGUAGCAGUGAAAUGCGUAGAGAUGUGGAGGAACACCGAUGGCGAAGGCAGCCCCCUGGGAUAAGACUGACGCUCAUGUACGAAAGCGUGGGGAGCAAACAGGAUUAGAUACCCUAGUAGUCC
rnacentral:rRNA from 1 species